GACGAACGCUGGCGGCGUGCUUAACACAUGCAAGUCGAACGGAAAGGCCCUGCUUUUGUGGGGUGCUCGAGUGGCGAACGGGUGAGUAACAAGUGAGUAACCUGCCCUUGACUUUGGGAUAACUUCAGGAAACUGGGGCUAAUACCGGAUAGGAGCUCCUGCUGCAUGGGGGGGGUUGGAAAGGUUCGGCGGUUGGGGAUGGACUCGCGGUUUAUCAGCUUGUUGGUGGGGUAGUGGCUUACCAAGGCUUUGACGGGUAGCCGGCCUGAGAGGGUGACCGGCCACAUGGGGACUGAGAUACGGCCCGGCCUCCUACGGGAGGCAGCAGUGGGGAAUAUUGCACAAUGGGCGGAAGCCUGAUGCAGCAACGCCGCGUGCGGGAUGACGGCCUUCGGGUUGUAAACCGCUUUCGCCUGUGACGAAGCGUGAGUGACGGUAAUGGGUAAAGAAGCACCGGCUAACUACGUG
rnacentral:rRNA from 1 species